AUAUAGAUUCUUCCUGAAAUGAGGUGGACGUUGAGUAGACGUAAUUUUAUACCUGUCCAGUCAACCUACAAGCAAGAAACAGCGAUAAAUACGAGCAAAUACGAAUAUUUAUUUCGAUCUAUUCCUAAACUUGCAAUUUAGUAGCACAAAAGCUAGUAAAUAUUAUUCAAUAAAUUAAGAAUGUCCCUCGUCGAGCUACCAGGGAUUCCGGUUGAAAGCUUGGUCGACGUUAUUAAAAAAUUUGACAUAGCGAUCUCCAAGGGGCACGAUUUAUUUCACGAAACUUGUCGAAUUGUAGUGCAACUACGGGAGCGACAGGAAGAUCCAAGAUAUCAAGGGUAUGACGAAGUGAUUGCGAAAGAAAGAAAACAACUGGAGGAAUAUAAGGAUAUACUUUUCGCCAAGUUGAUGAAUCUAGAAAGCAGGAAACGAGACAUGCUGCGUCGGGAUUUCGAAGACGCAGUCGAAAGGAUAAAAGUAGUUGAGCAACCGGAAGUGUAGAAUUUCAGAUGGAUUUUACAACCAUUAAGAUUGAAGGUUUCUGUGCAAAUUUGGUUUUUAAGGGUUUAUGCAAGUACCCGUAUAAUGGGCCUCGUUCGAUUUACCUAAUUUUUCAGGGAGAUAAAUAUGUCGACUUACACCCGAUUAAUACUUCUGUAUGUACAUAAAUGAAACUUUGGAAACUUCUUGUACACAAAAAUCCACAUCGUAAUUAAGGUUUAGAAUAAAUAAAAACACACAAUACUGAAAAUAUAGCAAAUCUUAUAUCAA